rnacentral:pre_miRNA from 1 species
AAACCGUCCCCUAAGUUUUGCAACUGUAGCAGUUUUGGUCCCCAAGGCCAAUUUUUGGUAAAAAAAAAAAAAGUAACACGUGGCACGUCAGCGUAGAAUGAGUCAAAAUUGGCCUUGGGGGCCAAAACUGCCACAUAUGAAAAACUUAGGGGGCGGUUU